rnacentral:rRNA from 1 species
CAGCAGCCGCGGUAAUACGUAGGUCCCGAGCGUUGUCCGGAUUUAUUGGGCGUAAAGGGCUCGCAGGCGGUUUCUUAAGUCUGAUGUGAAAGCCCCCGGCUCAACCGGGGAGGGUCAUUGGAAACUGGGAAACUUGAGUGCAGAAGAGGAGAGUGGAAUUCCACGUGUAGCGGUGAAAUGCGUAGAGAUGUGGAGGAACACCAGUGGCGAAGGCGACUCUCUGGUCUGUGACUGACGCUGAGGAGCGAAAGCGUGGGGAGCGAACAGGAUUAGAUACCCGCGUAGUCCCUGUCUCUUAUAC